rnacentral:tRNA from 1 species
AGUUUUAUAUUUUAUUAAAAAUUUUAGAUUGCAAAUUUAAAGAUGGUUAAAUUUAACCUAAAACUU